UAUAUAUAUAUAUGUACGUAUUUUUAUAAAAAUGUAUACGUAGAUAUAUAUGUAUUUU
ncrna:Tupaia chinensis (Chinese tree shrew) microRNA tch-mir-1277 precursor